AUAAUGGGUCAGCGACUUAUAUUCUGUAGCAAGGUUAACCGAAUAGGGGAGCCGAAGGGAAACCGAGUCUUAACUGGGCGUUAAGUUGCAGGGUAUAGACCCGAAACCCGGUGAUCUAGCCAUGGGCAGGUUGAAGGUUGGGUAACACUAACUGGAGGACCGAACCGACUAAUGUUGAAAAAUUAGCGGAUGACUUGUGGCUGGGGGUGAAAGGCCAAUCAAACCGGGAGAUAGCUGGUUCUCCCCGAAAGCUAUUUAGGUAGCGCCUCGUGAAUUCAUCUCCGGGGGUAGAGCACUGUUUCGGCAAGGGGGUCAUCCCGACUUACCAACCCGAUGCAAACUGCGAAUACCGGAGAAUGUUAUCACGGGAGACACACGGCGGGUGCUAACGUCCGUCGUGAAGAGGGAAACAACCCAGACCGCCAGCUAAGGUCCCAAAGUCAUGGUUAAGUGGGAAACGAUGUGGGAAGGCCCAGACAGCCAGGAUGUUGGCUUAGAAGCAGCCAUCAUUUAAAGAAAG
rnacentral:rRNA from 1 species